rnacentral:lncRNA from 1 species
AGUGUGAACUAGGCUCUCUUCUGGAUCUGGGAGCACUCACCAUCCUGACCAUGCUGCACUGAGGAUUCCUGCUGUGUUCACUAACUGGAAUGCCCAUAUCAGUCCAUUCACUAUGUCAGGCUGGUCUUGCUGAAGCCAGUGGCUACCUUCUGACAAAAUGGCAUCUCCUUCCCACACUGCAAUCUGAGUGUUUCAUAUAUGCUCUCCUUUCCUGCCUGUUCCCUCUGUCACAUCUGUGUUUCUAACAUUGGAAUAUAUCAGUGCCCAAGAGUUCACGCUGCAUCUGGGAGAUGAUUAACCCCGGAAAAGGAAAGGACUGGGAACAAGAGUAAAAUGCUGCAGACAUCAAGGAUAUGGGAACAUAGACAAGAAAGGAAGAGAGAAAAGCAAAAUCCCUGAAGUAUGAGAGAAAGACAGUACAAGUCAAAGCUGAGCAUGGACUCUGUCUCCGGCCUUUAGAUUCCAGCGUUUGGCAUGUCAUUUCCCUUGAUUCCACCACCUUACUAAGAAAACAAGGCCCAAGGGCUGAGGCUGCAGAGCAGUGGCAGAGCAUUUGCCUUUCAAGCACGAGACCCGAGCUUCAGUCCCCAGCACUGCAGUCCCUUCCCCUAAAUGAGGUCCAAGUUAAGUCACAUAAGUCAUGAAGGUCAUGGGAGUCAUGAGAGGGCUAAGGAUGUAGCUCAGUGGCAGAGCACUCGCCUGGCAUGACCAAUGCGUCCCCCGGCGUCACUAAAUAAACAGAUGUUAAGAGGAAUGAAGUAUCCAGGUGACUAGAGUCACCACUAUUUCUUCGUUCCGCUUCUGAGGGGAAAAGAGAGGAAUUCUGAGGAAUCCAGGAAGAGUCAUAAGCUGUGUUUCAUCCUUAAGUUGGACAGAAUUAACAAAUGUGACUUUGCUGUUAUCUUUUUAAAAUUAUUUUAGUGGUGGUGAGUCUUGGGAAAAUAAAAUGCUAUGGCCACCAGAUCGGAUUUAAU